AUGAGAAAGCAUGGAAAUUAAAUGAGAUUUCAAGUUUGAAUUCCUUCCCUUGUGAAAUAAUUAAAUUUUGCAAAAUCUCUUGUUUUUUAAUGUGUGUGCCAUCCAUACCCUUGAACCCUAAGAAUAAAUAUAACUUUUUAUUGUAUUUUUCAGCCUUUAAUUCAACUUUUACCUACCCAAGCCGUUCACUCUCUUCCUCUCAUUUUUUCUCUUCAAUUUUCUUUCUUUCUCCCAUUGUUGUUGUCGCCUACACCUAGUUUUACCAUCUCUUUCUUCUUUUUCUUUUUUCCACAAGAUUUGUUAACAUAUUCUCCACCAUAUUGCUGUCAUUUUUCCUCAUUAAAAUCAGCACCAAAUCUAAAAUCUUGAACUCCAAGAUUGAUCUCGAACAUUGCCAAGAAAGUCCCAUUGUCAUUUCUCUCAACUAGCUUGGGGAAAAAUGUUCUUGAUUGAUUAGCCAUUCGGAUCCCACAAAUCGUGAAGCGUGCUGACCUGAACGCCCCAAACCAUCCGUAAAGGCGAAGAACGAUUGUACGUACGGUUUGCAUCAAUACAGUAUUCAUUUAAGGAAUUAUUAAGGAAAAUUGGAAGAUUUGCUAGUGUGCUGCAAGGAACCGAAAAAUAAGGUAAACCUCAAAAUUAUGACCGAACUUGGCAUUCGGAGAAUCACCUUGGACCUCAGAUUAUUAUUUUACAAUUAAGUGUUAUUAAGUCUAUUUGGUUUUGGCUUGUAAUUUUUAACUAUUUCUGGUCUGUGGCUUAGUAACUUUUCUUUUGGGAUUUUUGCA